UUCGUAGGUGGCCAACUAAGUCAGACGUGAAAUCCCUCGGCUUAACCGGGGAACUGCGUCUGAAACUGGAUGGCUUGAGUGCAGGAGAGGAACGCGGAAUUCCAGGUGUAGCGGUGAAAUGCGUAGAUAUCUGGAGGAACACCGGUGGCGAAGGCGGCGUUCUGGACUGCAACUGACACUGAGGAACGAAAGCCAGGGGAACAAACG
rnacentral:rRNA from 1 species